rnacentral:miRNA from 1 species
AAUCUGGGUCUACCGUCAACCCC